GACAGAGGUGCCAAGCGUUAGGCGGAAUCACUGGGCUUAAAGCGUGUGUAGGCGGGUCGUUAAGUGUCUUGUGAAAUCCCCCGGCUCAACCGGGGAAUGGCUGGGCAUACUGGCGAUCUUGAGCAGUCUAGGGGCAGAAGGAACAGACGGUGGAGCGGUGAAAUGCGUAGAUAUCGUCUGGAACGCCAAAGGUGAAGACAGUCUGCUGGGGACUUGCUGACGCUGAGACACGAAAGCCAGGGGAGCGAACGGG
rnacentral:rRNA from 1 species